UACGUAGGACACGAGCGUUAUCCGGAUUUACUGGGCGUAAAGCGCCUGUAGGUGGACGAACAAGUCGGCUGUGAAAGCCCUGGGCUUAACCCGGGGAGGCCAGGCGAUACUGUUCGACUUGAGGGUGACAGAGGGGAGUGGAAUUCCCGGUGUAGCGGUAAAAUGCGCAGAUAUCGGGAGGAACACCAGUGGCGAAGGCGGCUCCCUGGGUCAUACCUGACACUGAGAGGCUAAAGCUAGGGGAGCGAACAGG
rnacentral:rRNA from 2 species